rnacentral:rRNA from 1 species
AUCACUAAGCGGAGGAAAAGAAACUAACAAGGAUUCCCUUAGUAACGGCGAGUGAAGUGGGAAGAGCCCAUCACCGAAUCCCCCAGCCUGCCGCUGGCGGGAGUUGUGGUGUAUGGGACGCCAACUGUCGUCCGUCUUCGGGCGCCGAAGUCCUCCUGAUCGGGGCCUCUCCCAGAGCGGGUGUAAGGCCUUUGCUGGCGCCUGGGCGGUCGGCUGCGAGCGUCUCAAGAGUCGGGUUGUUUGGGAAUGCAGCCCAAAGUGGGUGGUAAACUCCAUCUAAGGCUAAAUACUGCC